rnacentral:sRNA from 1 species
GUAUCCGUGACCUGGCCCCCUAAGAGCUA